rnacentral:rRNA from 1 species
UACAGGGGGUGCAAACGUUGUUCGGAAUACUGGCGUAAAGGCGUGAUGUAGGCGUGCUACAUAAGUCGGAUGUGAAAGCCCCGGGCUCAACCCGGGAAGUGCACUCGAUACUGCGUAGCUUGAGUCUCGGAGAGGUUGGUGGAAUUCUCGGUGUAGAGGUGAAAUUCGUAGAUAAUCGAGAGGAACACCGGUGGCGAAGGCGGCCAACUGGACGAAGACUGACGCUGAGACACGAAAGCGUGGGGGGAGCAAACAGG